rnacentral:rRNA from 1 species
GACGAACGCUGGCGGCGUGCCUAAUACAUGCAAGUUGAGCGCUGAAGGUUGGUACUUGUACCAACUGGAUGAGCAGCGAACGGGUGAGUAACGCGUGGGUAAUCUGCCUUUGAGCGGGGGACAACAUUUGGAAACGAAUGCUAAUACCGCAUAAAAACUUUAAACACAAGUUUUAAGUUUGAAAGAUGCAAUUGCAUCACUCAAAGAUGAUCCCGCGUUGUAUUAGCUAGUUGGUGAGGUAAAGGCUCACCAAGGCGAUGAUACAUAGCCGACCUGAGAGGGUGAUCGGCCACAUUGGGACUGAGACACGGCCCAAACUCCUACGGGAGGCAGCAGUAGGGAAUCUUCGGCAAUGGACGAAAGUCUGAACGAGCAACGCCGCGUGAGUGAAGAAGGUUUUCGGAUCGUAAAACUCGGUUGGUAGAGAAGAACGUUGGUGAGAGUGGAAAGCUCAUCAAGUGACGGUAACUACCCAGAAAGGGACGGCUAACUACGUG